rnacentral:rRNA from 1 species
AUGCAAAAGAAGGCACCUGCCAGGAGAAUUCUCACUUCCAAACCUAGGAAGGUUGCCACUGGUGAAACCAUGAAGUUCACUAUUGAGUCUGAUGAAGAAGCUGCUGGCCAAGAUAAGAAAAAGAAGAGACUCAGAACUACCACUGCCAAAGUUCUUGGCAAGCCCUCUAUGAGGAGAUCUUCUGAUGAGGAAGAAGAAGAGGAAGAGGAUGAUGCACCAGCUCCAAAAACUCAGAAGCUAAUGGGAGAUGCAAUCAGGUCAGGGGCUGCUCCAUCUAAGCUCAAAUCUGCUCCCAAGGCUGCUACUGCACCCAAGCCUAAACCGAAGAGGAACACCAGAAAUAUUCCUGCAUCUAAGAAGAAUAAGGCCCCAGUGCCUGAAGCUGCUGAAGAAGAUGAAGAUUCUCUUGUGUUGAGAAAGCUGAAGCCCAAGAUUCCUGAUCACAAUGAUGUUCAUCCAGUUGCUGAGGACAUGCAUAUCAGAAAGGAUGCUGGACUGAGAUUGUGGAGACAGUCAGAUCCUUAUGCUGUGAGGAGAAGGACAACAGUUGACUACAGAUUCCACACAAAGGAGCAACAUGAUUUCUAUGAAACCAUUUUGCUUGACAAGAAGCCCAUUCUGUGUGACAUGAGGUGGACCAACUAG